rnacentral:rRNA from 1 species
GAUGAACGCUGGCGGCGUGCUUAACACAUGCAAGUCGAACGAUGAAGCCCAGCUUGCUGGGUGGAUUAGUGGCGAACGGGUGAGUAACACGUGAGUAACCUGCCCUUAACUCUGGGAUAAGCCUGGGAAACUGGGUCUAAUACCGGAUAGGAGCGUCCACCGCAUGGUGGGUGUUGGAAAGAUUUAUCGGUUUUGGAUGGGCUCGCGGCCUAUCAGCUUGUUGGUGAGGUAAUGGCUCACCAAGGCGACGACGGGUAGCCGGCCUGAGAGGGUGACCGGCCACACUGGGACUGAGACACGGCCCAGACUCCUACGGGAGGCAGCAGUGGGGAAUAUUGCACAAUGGGCGCAAGCCUGAUGCAGCGACGCCGCGUGAGGGAUGACGGCCUUCGGGUUGUAAACCUCUUUCAGUAGGGAAGAAGCGAAAGCGACGGUACCUGCAGAAGAAGCACCGGCUAACUACGUG